rnacentral:rRNA from 1 species
UGAAGAUAACGGAUUGAAAAAUUAUGAUGGUACAGUCCUAUUAGUGUUGUCAAAAUGCUGGUGCCAGAAGACUCGGUAAGGCCAGAAACGCUAACGUUAGUAGUCUUGAUCAGGCGUAAAGGGUUAGUAGGCAGCUUUGUAUUUAUUCUAAAUUCACUAGUUCACAAUUAAACUGUAAAUUAAUAACUAUAAUUAUCUAAAUUUUUAUUAUUAUUAAUGAAACAGUAUGGACUAGUUUCUCUUAUUAAAUAAUAUUAUUUUUUUUAUUUCGAUAUUUUAUUUAAUUAUAGAGAAAUCGAAUCGAAAUUAAAAAGAAACAAAGAUUGAAUCUUAUUCAAGAUAUUGGGACAUAUGCUUAAUGUAAGGAUGAUAUCUAUAAAUAUUAAGUGGAAGACUUAGGGCGAAAGCUAUUUAUCUAGUAAAGAUUGACGCUGAGGAACGAAGGUUAGGAUUGAAAAAAGGAUUAGAUACCCUAGUAUCCCUAUCUGUCAACGAUGAAUGGUUAGUCAUUCAGUAAUUAUUGUAGUUAAGAAUAAUAUAAAUAUAUAUUAUUACAUAUCAAUUUAUACUGGGGAGCGUAGCUAACGCAAUUACCAUUCCGCCUUGUGAGUACGACUGCAAAGUUGAAAACAAAAAAAUUAGUCGGUUUCGGAGCAAACGAAGUGAAGGCAUGUUA